AAGGCUGAGUGCCUGUUCCCCGGCCAAGCGGGGUUUGGGGGAGAGGGCCAGGGGGCCGGGCCGUCCUGCCACACUUGGGGCCGAUGUCCAGCUGAGAGGGUGGCGGGGAGCAGGAAAGGAAGGUGCAGGAGUCAGGAACAUCCCCAAAGCCGCCCUCACUUCUGACCCCGAUUGCAAGUUCAAGAGUCCCCAAGCCACCCUGAGGUUCACUACUCCUUAGAAGGACUCCAGACUCACCGGAGGCUCCAUGGUUUAUUACAGCAAGAGGAUACAGACCAAAAUCAGCCAAGGACAGAGUGUCCCUACCUCUCUGUACUUGCUUCCUCUUUCCCAGUCAUUCAAGCCCUGCCUCACCUCAGAACCCCAUCCAGCGGCUGUGAGCACCUUCCCCUCCAUGGGGACGCUGCGGGCACUACCCUACUCGUCGUGAUGCUACCUUCCCUGUUAAGAGAGAAUUACAUUUUCAAGUUAAAAACAUAGCAACGUAUUAUCUAUUUCUUCUG